UACAGAGGUCUCAAGCGUUGUUCGGAUUCAUUGGGCGUAAAGGGUGCGUAGGUGGCGGGGCAAGUUGGAUGUGAAAUCCCGGAGCUUAACUCCGGAACUGCAUUCAAUACUGCCUUGCUAGAGUACUUGGAGAGGAGAUUGGAAUUUACGGUGUAGCAGUGAAAUGCGUAGAUAUCGUAAGGAAGACCAGUGGCGAAGGCGGAUCUCUGGACAGUUACUGACACUGAGGCACGAAGGCCAGGGGAGCAAACGGG
rnacentral:rRNA from 1 species